GGGAAAAUGGGUGAUUUUCAAGUUAAAUCUGGGAUUUUUGAAGGGAAAAAUGGGUGAUUUUCCCUUAAUUGGGGGGUUUUUGAGGAGAAAACGGGUGAUUUUCCAAGUAAUUGGGGAUUUUUGAAGGGAAAAUGGGUGAUUUUGAGUUAAAUCUGGGAUUUUUGAAAGGGAAAAUGGGUGAUUUUUGGGUUAAAUGGGAGAUUUUUGAAGAGAAAACGGGUGAUUUCUGCUUAAUGCGUGAUUUUUUAGCUAAAUGUUGGAUUUUCGAAGAGAAAAUGCAUGAUUUACCCUUCAAGGUGGGAUUUUUUUCGAGGAGAAAAAUGUGUGAUUUGGGGGUAAAAUGGGGGAUUUUCGAGGAGAAAAUGUGUGAUUUUGGGGUAAAAUGGGAAGUUUUCGUCGAGAAAAGGGGUGAUUUUCACUUAAAGGUGGGAUUAUCGAAGAGAAAAUGGGUGAUUUUCGGAUUAAAUGGGGCAUUUUCGUCAGGAAAACGAGUGAUUUUCGAGUUAAAUCUGGGAUUUUUGAAGGGAAAAUGGGUGAUUUUCCUUAAAAGGGGGUUUUUGAGGAGAAAAUGCGUGAUUUUCCAAUAA
rnacentral:lncRNA from 7 species